UUUCGAGGUAGGAGUCGACUCCUGUGAGGUAUGGUGCUGGGUGCAGAUGCAGUGUGGCUCUGGAUAGCACCUUAUGGACAGUUGUGUCCCCAAGGAAGGAUGAGAAUAGCUACUGAAGUCCUAAAGAGCAAGCCUAACUCAAGCCAUUGGCACACAGGCAUUAGACAGAAAGCUGGAAGUUGAAAUGGUAUGGAGAGUCGGCUUGACUACACUGUGUGGAGCAAGUUUUAAAGAAGCAAAGGACUCAGAAUUCAUGAUUGAAGAAAUGCAGGUUAGUUUAAACUUUGAAGGAAAUUUUUAAGGUGGCAAAAGGUUUUGGUGGCAUAUACACCUUAAUCUGUAGAUGGGAGUGAUUAGCUGUUUAAAAGUUAAAAUGUGACUGAGAAGGAAAUUGAGUAGGGCAAAUUUUAAAUGGGUAUUAUUUUUCAUCUUCAAACAGGCAGACCUGUUAUCCUAAACUAGGGUUUUUAAUGACCACAACAAGCAAGCAUGCAGCUUACUGCUUGAAAGGGUCUUGCCUCACCCAAGCUAGAGUGCAGUGGCCUUUGAAGCUUACUACAGCCUCAAACUUCUGGGCUCAAGUGAUCCUCAGCCUCCCAGUGGUCUUUGUAGACUGCCUGAUGGAGUCUCAUGGCACAAGAAGAUUAAAACAGUGUCUCCAAUUUUAAUAAAUUUUUGCAAUCC
rnacentral:lncRNA from 1 species